UACGGAGGGGGCUAGCGUUGUUCGGAAUUACUGGGCGUAAAGCGCACGUCGGCGGACUGGAAAGUCAGAGGUGAAAUCCCAGGGCUCAACCUUGGAACUGCCUUUGAAACUCCCGGUCUUGAGGUCGAGAGAGGUGAGUGGAAUUCCGAGUGUAGAGGUGAAAUUCGUAGAUAUUCGGAGGAACACCAGUGGCGAAGGCGGCUCACUGGCUCGAUACUGACGCUGUGGUGCGAAAGCGUGGAGAGCAAACAGG
rnacentral:rRNA from 1 species